GGGUCCGCACAAGCGGUGGAGCAUGUGGUUUAAUUCGAUGAUACGCGAGGAACCUUACCUAGGCUCUAAUGUUAGUGACCGCUGCUGAAAAGCGGCUUUCCUUCGGGACACGAAACAAGGUGCUGCAUGGUUGUCGUCAGCUCGUGCCGUGAGGUGUUGGGUUAAGUCCCGCAACGAGCGCAACCCUUAUUGCUAGUUGCCAGCAUUUAGUUGGGGACUCUAGCAAGACUGCCGGCGCAAGCCGUGAGGAAGGUGGGGAUGACGUCAAAUCAUCAUGGCUUUAUGCCUAGGGCUACACACGUGCUACAAUGGACGAGACAAAGGGUUGCUAACCCGCAAGGGGUGCUAA
rnacentral:rRNA from 1 species